AACGAACGCUGGCGGCAGGCUUAACACAUGCAAGUCGAGCGCCCCGCAAGGGGAGCGGCAGACGGGUGAGUAACGCGUGGGAACAUACCCUUUUCUACGGAAUAACGCAUGGAAACGUGUGCUAAUACCGUAUGAGCCCUACGGGGGAAAGAUUUAUCGGGAAAGGAUUGGCCCGCGUUGGAUUAGCUAGUUGGUGGGGUAAUGGCCUACCAAGGCGACGAUCCAUAGCUGGUCUGAGAGGAUGGUCAGCCACAUUGGGACUGAGACACGGCCCAAACUCCUACGGGAGGCAGCAGUGGGGAAUAUUGGACAAUGGGCGCAAGCCUGAUCCAGCCAUGCCGCGUGAGUGAUGAAGGCCCUAGGGUUGUAAAGCUCUUUCACCGGAGAAGAUAAUGACGGUAUCCGGAGAAGAAGCCCCGGCUAACUUCGUGCCAGCAGCCGCCGCGGUAA
rnacentral:rRNA from 1 species